AUACGUAGGGUGCGAGCGUUGUCCGGAAUUAUUGGGCGUAAAGAGCUCGUAGGCGGUUUGUCACGUCGGAUGUGAAAUCCCGGGGCUCAACUCCGGGUCUGCAUUCGAUACGGGCUGACUAGAGUUCGGUAGGGGAGACUGGAAUUCCUGGUGUAGCGGUGAAAUGCGCAGAUAUCAGGAGGAACACCGGUGGCGAAGGCGGGUCUCUGGGCCGAUACUGACGCUGAGGAGCGAAAGCGUGGGGAGCGAACAGGA
rnacentral:rRNA from 1 species